CCUACGGGUGGCAGCAGUGAGGAAUAUUGGUCAAUGGACGAGAGUCUGAACCAGCCAAGUAGCGUGAAGGAUGACUGCCCUAUGGGUUGUAAACUUCUUUUAUAUGGGAAUAAAACGUUCCACGUGUGGGAUUUUGUAUGUACCAGAUGAAUAAGGAUCGGCUAACUCCGUGCCAGCAGCCGCGGUAAUACGGAGGAUCCGAGCGUUAUCCGGAUUUAUUGGGUUUAAAGGGAGCGUAGGUGGAAUGUUAAGUCAGUUGUGAAAGUUUGGGGCUCAACCGUAGAAUUGCAGUUGAAACUGGCAGUCUUGAGUACAGUAGAGGUAGGCGGAAUGCGUGGUGUAGCGGUGAAAUGCUUAGAUAUCACGAAGAACUCCGAUUGCGAAGGCAGUUCACUGGACUGCAACUGACGCUGAGGCUCGAAAGUGUGGGUAUCAAACAGGAUUAGAUACCCCGGUAGUC
rnacentral:rRNA from 1 species